rnacentral:rRNA from 1 species
AUUGAACGCUGGCGGCAGGCUUAACACAUGCAAGUCGAGCGGAGAGAGGUAGCUUGCUACUGAUCUUAGCGGCGGACGGGUGAGUAAUGCUUAGGAAUCUGCCUAUUAGUGGGGGACAACAUUUCGAAAGGAAUGCUAAUACCGCAUACGUCCUACGGGAGAAAGCAGGGGAUCUUCGGACCUUGCUCUAAUAGAUGAGCCUAAGUCGGAUUAGCUAGUUGGUGGGGUAAAGGCCUACCAAGGCGACGAUCUGUAGCGGGUCUGAGAGGAUGAUCCGCCACACUGGGACUGAGACACGGCCCAGACUCCUACGGGAGGCAGCAGGGGGGAAUAUUGGACAAUGGGCGGAAGCCUGAUCCAGCCAUGCCGCGUGUGUGAAGAAGGCCUUUUGGUUGUAAAGCACUUUAAGCGAGGAGGAGGCUCUUAAGGUUAAUACCCUUGAUGAGUGGACGUUACUCGCAGAAUAAGCACCGGCUAACUCUGUGCCAGCCGCCGCCGUAAAAC